rnacentral:rRNA from 1 species
AGGCGGAGCUGCAAGUCAGAUGUGAAAUCCCGGGGCUCAACCCCGGAACUGCAUUUGAAACUGUAGCCCUUGAGUAUCGGAGAGGCAAGCGGAAUUCCUAGUGUAGCGGUGAAAUGCGUAGAUAUUAGGAGGAACACCAGUGGCGAAGGCGGCUUGCUGGACGACAACUGACGCUGAGGCGCGAAAGCGUGGGGAGCAAACAGGAUUAGAUACCCUGGUAGUCCACGCUGUAAACGAUGAAUACUAGGUGUGGGAGGACCGACCCCUUCCGUGCCGCAGUUAACACAAUAAGUAUUCCACCUGGGGAGUACGACCGCAAGGUUGAAACUCAAAGGAAUUGACGGGGGCCCGCACAAGCAGUGGAUUAUGUGGUUUAAUUCGACGCAACGCGAAGAACCUUACCAGGAUUUGACAUCCAACUAACGAAGCAGAGAUGCAUUAGGUGCCCUUCGGGGAAAGUUGAGACAGGUGGUGCAUGGUUGUCGUCAGCUCGUGUCGUGAGAUGUUGGGUUAAGUCCCGCAACGAGCGCAACCCCUAUUGUUAGUUGCUACGAAAGAGCACUCUAGCGAGACUGCCGUUGACAAAACGGAGGAAGGCGGGGACGACGUCAAAUCAUCAUGCCCCUUAUGUCCUGGGCUACACACGUAAUACAAUGGUGGUAAACAGAGGGAAGCAAAGCCGCGAGGUGGAGCAAAUCCCUAAAAGCCAUCUCAGUUCGGAUUGCAGGCUGCAACUCGCCUGCAUGGAGCUGGAAUUGCUAGUAAUCG